ACUUAAAGGAAUUGACGGAAGGGCACCACCAGGGGUGGAGCCUGCGGCUUAAUUUGACUCAACACGGGGAAACUCACCAGGUCCAGACACGAUGAGGAUUGACAGAUUGAGAGCUCUUUCUUGAUUUCGUGGGUGGUGGUGCAUGGCCGUUCUUAGUUGGUGGAGUGAUUUGUCUGCUUAAUUGCGAUAACGAACGAGACCUUAACCUGCUAAAUAGCCCGCAUUGCUUUGGCAGUGCGCCGGCUUCUUAGAGGGACUAUCGGCUCAAGCCGAUGGAAGUUUGAGGCAAUAA
rnacentral:rRNA from 1 species